UACGUAGGGGGCGAGCGUUGUCCGAAGUUACUGGGCGUAAAGCGCGCGUAGGCGGGGGGUUAAGUGAGAGGUGAAAGGCUGGGGCUCAACCUCAUGCAGUGCCUCUCAUACUGGCCUUCUUGAGGGCGGUAGGGAGAAGUGGAAUGGCUGGUGUAGCGGUGAAAUGCGUAGAUAUCAGUCGGAACACCGGUGGCGAAGGCGGCUUCUUGUGCCGUUCCUGACGCUGAUGCGCGAAAGCUGGGGGAGCGAACGGG
rnacentral:rRNA from 1 species